rnacentral:rRNA from 1 species
GACGAACGCUGGCGGCGUGCUUAACACAUGCAAGUCGAACGGAAAGGCCCUGCUUUUGUGGGGUGCUCGAGUGGCGAACGGGUGAAUAACACGUGAGUAACCUGCCCUUGACUUUGGGAUAACUUCAGGAAACUGGGGCUAAUACCGGAUAGGAGCUCCUGCUGCAUGGUGGGGGUUGGAAAGUUUCGGCGGUUGGGGAUGGACUCGCGGCUUAUCAGCUUGUUGGUGGGGUAGUGGCUUACCAAGGCUUUGACGGGUAGCCGGCCUGAGAGGGUGACCGGCCACAUUGGGACUGAGAUACGGCCCAGACUCCUACGGGAGGCAGCAGUGGGGAAUAUUGCACAAUGGGCGGAAGCCUGAUGCAGCAACGCCGCGUGCGGGAUGGCGGCCUUCGGGUUGUAAACCGCUUUCGCCUGUGACGAAGCGUGAGUGACGGUAAUGGGUAAAGAAGCACCGGCUAACUACGUGCCAGCAGCCGCGGUGAUACGUAGGGUGCGAGCGUUGUCCGGAUUUAUUGGGCGUAAAGGGCUCGUAGGUGGUUGAUCGCGUCGGAAGUGUAAUCUUGGGGCUUAACCCUGAGCGUGCUUUCGAUACGGGUUGACUUGAGGAAGGUAGGGGAGAAUGGAAUUCCUGGUGGAGCGGUGGAAUGCGCAGAUAUCAGGAGGAACACCAGUGGCGAAGGCGGUUCUCUGGGCCUUUCCUGACGCUGAGGAGCGAAAGCGUGGGGAGCGAACAGGCUUAGAUACCCUGGUAGUCCACGCUGUAAACGGUGGGUACUAGGUGUGGGGUCCAUUCCACGGGUUCCGUGCCGUAGCUAACGCUUUAAGUACCCCGCCUGGGGAGUACGGCCGCAAGGCUAAAACUCAAAGGAAUUGACGGGGCCCCGCACAAGCGGCGGAGCAUGCGGAUUAAUUCGAUGCAACGCGUAGAACCUUACCUGGGUUUGACAUGGAUCGGGAGUGCUCAGAGAUGGGUGUGCCUCUUUUGGGGUCGGUUCACAGGUGGUGCAUGGCUGUCGUCAGCUCGUGUCGUGAGAUGUUGGGUUAAGUCCCGCAACGAGCGCAACCCUUGUUCACUGUUGCCAGCACGUUAUGGUGGGGACUCAGUGGAGACCGCCGGGGUCAACUCGGAGGAAGGUGGGGAUGACGUCAAGUCAUCAUGCCCCUUAUGUCCAGGGCUUCACGCAUGCUACAAUGGCUGGUACAGAGAGUGGCGAGCCUGUGAGGGUGAGCGAAUCUCGGAAAGCCGGUCUCAGUUCGGAUUGGGGUCUGCAACUCGACCUCAUGAAGUCGGAGUCGCUAGUAAUCGCAGAUCAGCAACGCUGCGGUGAAUACGUUCCCGGG